UUCCACUCUCUCCCUUCGUUUUUCCAUCUCCACUUCCCAAUUACUGUAUUUGAAAUGCUUCUUCCGUCGCAGUUACCAAAAGUCGAAAAGCAUAUUUCCCUCCGCAAAUUAGGCGAGGAGGAUCUCUUAUUCUAUAAAGUCAAAAUGAUCUUGGAUGGUUGGUCAAGAAUAGUUGCCAAACUGUUGAGUUAGACUUCAAACAAAACAACUCAUGUUUGUCUAGCAGAAGAAAAUGCAUUGAGCAUAAGAGUUAAUCUCAUUCUUCUGGUCUGUGUCACUUGUCGCCUACGGCAUUGUCAGUCAUAGACCUGAUUUGGUUAUGAUUGUGGAGGACAGGCAUAUAUUAUGCAUCAGAGCACGUGCCUCUGCAGGCUACAACGAGGAGCGGAUGUAAUUGAGAAUGAAAGAAGAUCCUUUGUAGGGAAACACUGGUUGGGUGACCACGCCGUUCCCUUAUGAGCCGGAUUGCAGCAUAAAAACUACCCGGAGCCUCUGGAUGAAGGCAGAUAUUGGCGUGCCGUGUCAGGCCGGAUGACUAAUCCCGUUACAGUGUGUGGUAUCAAAGCAAACUGGGGAUCUGAGGGAAAUGUAAGGUGUUGUCUGCAACCAAGAACCAUUAGUUCAGAUGCCUAAUUGUGAUAUGUUGUGACUUCCUCAACAAAUUGGGAUUUAGUUGUAUUCUAACCUCGACGAUUUUUAUUUCAACGUGUCUUAGUAAUAGUAUGUAAAAUGUAUGCCAAAGAGGUAAAUUAUCAUAUUAUACAUCCAUGGUUUGUUCUCUCA